UGACCUUGUGCUGCAGUUAGAGUCUGGUUCCUGACGCAAGCGCUGGGAGGUGGGGCUUUCAGUAAGUGACUGCGUCAGAAGGGCCGCUGACAGGCUCCCCUCCGAAUGGGCUUCCGGGAGAACCAGGUCGCUGGGGACUCCAUGCCAUGAUGUCUGCCUCAUCCAGGGCACAAAUGCAACAUAUGGGGUGAAAUUUCUGAAACCCCUUGUCCCCCAGCCAACGUCUUUCCACAACCUUGGAAGCAGCACACAUCUGGAGAGGCUAUGAUAUCCACUAAAUUAUGAUCCUUCCUUCUUUAUAGACAACCUUUCCAGAAUCAAUACCCUUCAGCUGACUGAUACUCCACUAAGGCAUUUCCCAGGUCAUCUGGUCUCUACACCCACUUCAUUUCCUAGUCCAUAACAGGUCUCUCAGACUUUAUUAAUUUAUUUUUUCAUGGUAUGAA